rnacentral:rRNA from 1 species
UACGUAGGGGUGCAAGCGUUGUCCCGGAAUUAUUGGGGCGUAAAGAGCUUGUAGGCGGUUUGUCGCGUCUGCUGUGAAAUUUCGGGGCUCAACCCCGAACUUGCAGUGGGUACGGGCAGACUAGAGUGUGGUAGGGGAGACUGGAAUUCCUGGUGUAGCGGUGAAAUGCGCAGAUAUCAGGAGGAACACCGGUGGCGAAGGCGGCUACCUGGACAGAAACUGACGCUGAGGCACGAAAGCCAGGGGAGCAAACGGG